rnacentral:rRNA from 1 species
UGGGGAAUUUUGGACAAUGGGGGCAACCCAGAUCCAGCAAUGCCGCGUGUGUGAAGAAGGCCUUCGGGUUGUAAAGCACUUUUGUCCGGAAAGAAAACUUCGGGGCUAAUACCCCUGGAGGAUGACGGUACCGGAAGAAUAAGCACCGGCUAACUACGUGCCAGCAGCCGCGGUAAUACGUAGGGUGCGAGCGUUAAUCGGAAUUACUGGGCGUAAAGCGUGCGCAGGCGGUGCUGUAAGACCGAUGUGAAAUCCCCGGGCUUAACCUGGGAACUGCAUUGGUGACUGGCGCGCUGGAGUAUGGCAGAGGGGGGUGGAAUUCCACGUGUAGCAGUGAAAUGCGUAGAGAUGUGGAGGAACACCGAUGGCGAAGGCAGCCCCCUGGGCCAAUACUGACGCUCAUGCACGAAAGCGUGGGGAGCAAACAGG